UACGUAGGGGGCUAGCGUUGUCCGGAAUCAUUGGGCGUAAAGGGCUCGUAGGUGGCCAACUAAGUCAGACGUGAAAUCCCUCAGCUUAACUGGGGAACUGCGUCUGAUACUGGAUGGCUUGAGAUUGGGAGAGGGAUGCGGAAUUCCAGGUGUAGCGGUGAAAUGCGUAGAUAUCUGGAGGAACACCGGUGGCGAAGGCGGCAUCCUGGACCAACACUGACACUGAGGAGCGAAAGCCAGGGGAGCAAACGGG
rnacentral:rRNA from 1 species